GNUANGCUNCGGCAGGCUUACACAUGCAAGUUGAGGGGUAACGAUUCUGACUUCGGUUAGAAGGCGACGACCGGCGCACGGGUGAGUAGCGCGUAUGCAACCUACCUUUAACUGGAGAAUAGCCCCGAGAAAUCGGGAUUAAUGCUCCAUAAUAUUAAUUUGUUACCUAACAAAUUACUUAAAGCUCCGGCGGUUAAAGAUGGACAUGCGUACCAUUAGUUAGUUGGUAAGGUAACGGCUUACCAAGGCGAUGAUGGUUAGGGGUUCUGAGAGGAUUGUCCCCCACACUGGUACUGAGACACGGACCAGACUCCUACGGGAGGCAGCAGUGAGGAAUAUUGGUCAAUGGGCGCAAGCCUGAACCAGCCAUGCCGCGUGCAGGAAGACGGUUCUAUGAAUUGUAAACUGCUUUUCUACAGGAAGAAUUGUAUUGAUUAUUCAGUAUUUGACGGUACUGUAGGAAUAAGCAUCGGCUAACUCCGUGCCAGCAGCCGCGGUAAUACGAAGGGC
rnacentral:rRNA from 1 species